GGCACUAUCAGUAGUCAAGACGAAGAAGUCGGGCUAAGGACUCUUUACCCUCGAUUCUUAGCAUCUCAAGGAGACGAUCCUCUGGAGAAGAACAUCUGAAACUCUAUCUCUUGAAAUGAAUACCCCUUCCUUGGCUUAUGCCAUUUACCUGAACAAGCAAAGAAAGACUUCAAAGAAGGUAGGAACUUACUCCUCUUCUCCUUCGAUACGUGCCUGCUACUGCAGCAGCUAGAGAGGUACGGAUUCGGACAUGGGAGCAUUAGGAAGAUUCUUUCUAGCUUAUGUGAUUCACUCCUUAAAUUAAAUAAGGUAGUUGGCUUACUUGCUUUUGAGAGGACAGGUUGUUUACGAAGAGAAGACAGACGCAAGACUCAUCCCGAUGGAUGCGAGACAGCAG
rnacentral:lncRNA from 1 species